rnacentral:rRNA from 1 species
UGUUUGAUGUUCUAACGUGGACCCGUGAUCCGGGUUGCGGACAGUGUCUGGUGGGUAGUUUGACUGGGGCGGUCUCCUCCUAAAGAGUAACGGAGGAGCACGAAGGUUGGCUAAUCCUGGUCGGACAUCAGGAGGUUAGUGCAAUGGCAUAAGCCAGCUUGACUGCGAGCGUGACGGCGCGAGCAGGUGCGAAAGCAGGUCAUAGUGAUCCGGUGGUUCUGAAUGGAAGGGCCAUCGCUCAACGGAUAAAAGGUACUCCGGGGAUAACAGGCUGAUACCGCCCAAGAGUUCAUAUCGACGGCGGUGUUUGGCACCUCGAUGUCGGCUCAUCACAUCCUGGGGCUGAAGUAGGUCCCAAGGGUAUGGCUGUUCGCCAUUUAAAGUGGUACGCGAGCUGGGUUUAGAACGUCGUGAGACAGUUCGGUCCCUAUCUGCCGUGGGCGCUGGAGAACUGAGGGGGGCUGCUCCUAGUACGAGAGGACCGGAGUGGACGCAUCACUGGUGUUCGGGUUGUCAUGCCAAUGGCACUGCCCGGUAGCUAAAUGCGGAAGAGAUAAGUGCUGAAAGCAUCUAAGCACGAAACUUGCCCCGAGAUGAGUUCUCCCUGAGACUUUAGGUCUCCUGAAGGAACGUUGAAGACGACGACGUUGAUAGGCCGGGUGUGUAAGCGCAGCGAUGCGUUGAGCUAACCGGUACUAAUGAACCGUGAGGCUUAACCUUA